GGGCGAUUAGCUCAGUUGGUUAGAGCAUCUGAUUUACAUUCAGAGGGUCAGGGGUUCAACUCCUCUAUCGCCCACCA
rnacentral:tRNA from 1 species